CGGAGAGGUUGGUGACCCCUACCAGGGAUGGGACCUGUGCGAUGAUGUUAUUUGGAGCUUGGUUAAGGAAUUUGGGCAGCCACUUGCUCGCUGCGGGGCAGCCGAGGCUGAGCUCUGCCACCCGAGGUGGCCUUCCCCUGCUCGGGGGCGGCAGCUGCAAAGCUUCCACCCGCUGUGUCUGGAGGUGCCCUCCCCGAGCAAGGCUGGCCGAAAGCUGUGUUUUGGGGCUCUGCAGGGAGCAAAAGCUGCUCAGGCAGAGUCUUUGCUGCCCCCCUGCUCCCCCUCCGACAACCGAGUCGCAGGAACCAGGCCUGACCUACUUCUCCCUGGCUCCUCGCUUGCGUUUCCCUGACAGAUUACGAGGCCCUUCAUCUCCCGGCAGAAAUGUGAGUUUCCCAAGUAGCCGGCCCACAGAGGCAUAAAUAUUAAACAGCAACAGUACCAUCUAGUGACUUUGACUCACAGAGAGCAUCAGUUAAGACGGGGACAAGGAAAUGGGUGCAGUAAGGAGUCUGAGCAAAGCCCCAGAUGUGCAGAUGAGGUCUUAUCUCCAGGUUCAUUUGGAUUUAGGAAGCCAACCGUGCUGGUGCCGCAGCAGCCUCUCGCUGUGAUGUGACGCUUCCUUGGGAGACAAUCCUGUUUUUAGCCUACUGACUCCCCGCUGAACCCAGCCCUGACCCACGCUCCCUCUGCUGGUAACGAACUAAUUUACUUAAUGUGUUCACAACUUCGCGCACACCCACACGCACGCACAACAGCAAAUCCUGGCAGUAGCAUGCGAUGAAACUCAGGGCUGUGGCGAUUUCUCGGUCCUGAUGAACGUGCACCUUUUUGCUCUGAUGAGCCAGGAGUGAAAUCCUGAAUUGGAUGCAUGAACUAAACAGACAUGGUUCCGUUACUGCAUCAAAAACAGGCCUAAAACUGAGCAGAAAGGGUACACGAGCUUAAAAGGCCCACUCCAAGCAGAUCUGAAAUUACAGCCUCUCCUUCACAGCUGAAGGGAGGAAAUCAAAUUAGAGCGUUUCUCUCCCCAUCAGAGGACACCAGGCCUGCUGUGGCCGCGUUACACCGUGCCGUAGUUCAAGGCGUGCAGGAGAUCUCCUGGGAGGCUUCUGUGUGACCAGGGCAUCGCUGCAGAUCGCUGUGGUACCCACAGGCUCUGGGAUGCUCAGUGCUGAAGGGCACAACCCUUCUUAGCUGGUUAGCAGUGUGUGGGCACUGCCUCUUUCCCAGCCAAAGAGGCUGUUACGUGCACCAAAUGCACGGGAUGGAGGAAAGGUGACCCAAAAACACCGUGUUGUUGAACUUAAAUGCUAAAAUGUGACAGUAAACCUAUUAAGUGCCAUUGGUACUUGCAGAAGAAAUUGCUUUGCCACCUAAUCAAACGUGUCCCCUCUUUGCUAUCAAGAGCACGGCGCUGCCCUAAGUCCACUCAGCCUGGCUCACGGGCUGAUGGGUGUCUGACAAUUUUCUGGUUUCAAUUUAAACAGAAAACUAAAUUAGCAAAUUAAUUGUUUGCCGUGUUUUUCCUCGGUCCCCAUCAGCUGCCGCAGGACCUGCAGCCAAUCCAGGCACCCCUCUCGCAGUCCCCAGCAGAAGGUGGAGCUCUGCACCGGGUCCUGCUAUCUACCAAGUGUCAGUCAUGUUAAUUUUAAAUUACUUUUGUACAGCUCGGUGUCAAAACGAUUAAAGCAUGAAAAGAAAAACUGAACUAGAGAGAGGGAAGGGUGGGGGGGAGAGAGAAUGAAUAAUUUACCUUGCAUUUACAGCAAGGACACUUCAAUUUCUUUAACUCCUCAACUCUGUGAAGCCUGAAACUUUUCUUUCCUCUGCUCAACCUGCUUAUGACUCCGCCUGAGCAGGUGCUCUGGAUCCUCGCCUUCUGCAGGGAGGCAGUAACUGCUCGCAGCACAAAGCCGUGAUAAUAUCUGAGUUUCUUCCCAGGUACGGCUUUUCUCUGCGCCGCGCUCACCGUUUGUUGCAUUCGCCAGCACAAACCCACCCACACGCAGACCUUUCCUCCCCUUACUGCUCGGCACCCAGCUCCAUUUUCUCCAGAACUUGAGCACAUCGUGCUAGAUAAUUACAUGCUCAAAAAACAGAGAAAUGUACAAUCAGAUCCAGCCUUAAAACUGCGAGAAUGAGAACCUCAAGACAGCAUCUGGUGUAGGAUCGCAGCAUAACAGCCCUGGACUCACCGCGUCGGUUCCCCCAACUAACCUGCGUGCCUUGUAAAAACUUUGGUUUCUGCACAAAGACUGCUUUUAUCUUCUUUCUUAGUUCCACCUGCGAUUUCUUUCUCUUUCCAGUUACUGAAUGCUAUAAUCAGCGGUCCUUGAAAUACCAUACUAAAUCUGGAGAGGCCAGAAGAACAGCAAAAAGAUUUGUAAGGAGGGCAACUUGGCAUCACCUGAAAAUGUAAAGCAAGACAAGUUUAGCUACUUCUGUCAGUUUUUGUCUUCAGCUUAUACAUAGGAGCAUUUUCUAUUCAUAUUUCUUUAAAAAUUGGGUAUAUUUAUUUUGAAUUAUUUCGUCUUGAGGGACUACAAAUUGCAACGAGGUGCCUUUGAUGGGAGAUCAGUAGCAGGGUGACAGAGCUGCCUGGGAAAUGAGAGGGGCUGGAUGCUCCAGCGUAAUGUAUCCUGCAGGAUAUGUGUGGGCUUGAACCGAUUUGUCAAAUUUGAGCAGAGAAAACAAUUUUGCUAAUGGGUGUUUUCUGAAAAACGAGCGUGUUGUCUCGGCAGUUUGUGUUCUGACUUGUGCUGUCUUCUCGCCACCCAUCCUUGGCAGGCGCAGAGAGGAGGCACCGGUGGCUUCUCCCUGCACCUCGCUCCAGCGUCGUUAGCCCGACAGCCUUGCCAGAUCCCGACAGCUCGUGCGACGGGCUGAAAAGCACGCCUGAGAUUUCCUCCUCCAAAACUUCUUCCCCGACUUCUCUAACGUGUUUGCUUUGGCUCGGUAAUCCCCCCUUCCUUUAAUCCUCCUGGCUUUGGUUCUGUGGCCCGCAGGGCAGGCUCCACUUGGAAGGUGGGGAAGGCAAAGGGGCACCCCUGGAAUGAAUGAAGCCGCCCCCUCCCUGCUGCCCCAUUUUUGUGCUGCUGCCCUUGGAGCGUGGAAAUCGCAGGGGUCUGCACAGUUUAGGAGCUGUGACUGGGCUGCAGUGGUGCACUGCAUGGGAUUUCGCUUAAGCAUGCAGGCACGGCAAUGUUUCUCUCAUUAAUAGCGGGAUUCCCUUCACAUGGCAAUGUUUCUUCAGCUGCUGACUCACAAAUAAAUCAUUUAACUGACUUUUUUUUUUUUUCCCUUUCCCAUUUGGGAAGCUCCUGUAAACUUCCCUUAUCCUCUGCCAGAGGCCUAGCAGGAGGCUUGAGAAAUGAAGAGCGGUGUCUCCUGCAGCGCGUUUUGGCAAUGUCACCUCAGAUGUGCCGUGGGGGAGUACCGAGCAUCACGACCUCCAGUCUGAUAACCACAGCUUUCCCUCUCUAAUAUGCGCUUGGCGCGAGAGCAGCAGCUUUAUAAAACUAACACCUUUUUUACUAGAUGCUGCUAGUCCAGCCGCAGUGAUCUCUGCUCGCUUGUGCAACUUCUUAAAUAAAAAAACAUUGUGAGCCGGAGCAUUAAAAAUACAGUCAGCAAGGCUGGCACUUCUACUCUGCCUGGCGCUGGAGAGCUGAGUGAGAGCACGAGAGGGACGUGCAAUGGAUUUAUUACCAACAGUGCUGCUGUAUCGCAUCCAACUGCAAAACCUAUCAGGACGUUCUGUAUCGAUCGGAGUACAAAGACCAAAAUAAGAGAAGUGUAGCAAAGAGAGCAACCAACUAAAUGCCAAAUGCUAGAGGCGACCUGAGGCCUAAAACAAAGCACAGACCAUCAGUAAUUGGUGCUGGAGGAGCUUGAAGUCGAGAGAUGUUUCUCUCUUUGUCCUGAAGAUUCUCAAGAGCUGGAGGCUGGUGUUUCCAGCACCCCGUGAACUACGCAAUUUAGAGCUAUAACCCACGAACAAGACAGAAACUUCAAAGAGAUCAGCAGGUCGAGGACAAGCAGGCCUUCUUACCCCGACACCCUCGAUUUACAUUUGGAUUUUAUGUUUGUAAAUGAAGCCACAUACAAAUUUAGGGAUCGGUGAUAAGGAAAUGGAAGCUUAUGAAAGGUGUCGGGCAUCUCGCAUCAGGAAAUUUCUAUGGAAAUGCUUGAUUGCUAACAGGAUUUACGGGUAUCUACUUGCUAUAAUUAAUCUUUCUCUUCCACAUAAUUUCAUUACACGUUGCCUGUUUCGACUGAGUACAGUCCCAACACCCUGAAACCCAUGGGUUCGGUGGAGGAAGGGUUUUUUAAUGUCUAGGAGUUGCAUUGCAACAGCAGAGAGGCUCAACAACUCCAUGUUUCAGGGGUGGUGAGCUCCAGGGACUGGCAGAGCUGGAGACAAGGGCUCGUAAAAGGCAACAGGCUUGAGGAGACAGAGGAAGGAAGGUCUUUAACUGUUAGGCUGAAUCACUAAAGCCCGUAUCUAAUGAACCAUACGGUAUUUACUGAUGCCGCAUGUCCUUGUCUAUUAGGGACAUUUAUCAGCAGGCUUGCUCCCCCCCCUCCUGUUUUCCAACUUCGUUUCUUUGUGGUUUGCAGGCGUGAUGCGUUUUCAG